rnacentral:tRNA from 1 species
CAUUAAGAAGCUAUGUAACAGCACUAGCCUUUUAAGCUAGAAAAAGAGGAUCCCAACUUCCUCCUUAAUGA